rnacentral:rRNA from 1 species
UGGGGAAUAUUGGACAAUGGGCGAAAGCCUGAUCCAGCCAUGCCGCGUGAAUGAUGAAGGCCUUAGGGUUGUAAAAUUCUUUCAACGGGGACGAUAAUGACGGUACCCGUAGAAGAAGCCCCGGCUAACUUCGUGCCAGCAGCCGCGGUAAUACGAAGGGGGCUAGCGUUGUUCGGAAUUACUGGGCGUAAAGCGCACGUAGGCGGACUGAUUAGUUGGUGGUGAAAGCCCAGGGCUCAACCUUGGAACUGCCAUCAAUACUGUCAGUCUGGAGCAGAGUAGAGGUUAGUGGAAUUCCAAGUGUAGAGGUGAAAUUCGUAGAUAUUUGGAGGAACACCAGUGGCGAAGGCGACUGACUGGACUCUUGCUGACGCUGAGGUGCGAAAGCGUGGGGAGCAAACA